AACAGGGUUGUCUAUCUACGGGUAACAGGGUUGUCUAUCUACGGGUAACAGGGUUGUCUAUCUACGGGUAACAGGUUUGUCUAUCUACGGGUAACAGGGUUGUCUAUCUACGGGUAACAGGGUUGUCUAUCUACGGGUAACAGGGUUGUCUAUCUACGGGUAACAGGUUUGUCUAUCUACGGGUAACAGGGUUGUCUAUCUACGGGUAACAGGGUUGUCUAUCUACGGGUAACAGGGUUGUCUAUCUACGGGUAACAGGGUUGUCUAUCUACGGGUAACAGGGUUGUCUAUCUACGGGUAACAGGGUUGUCUAUCUACGGGUAACAGGGUUGUCUAUCUACGGGUAACAGGUUUGUCUAUCUACGGGUAACAGGGUUGUCUAUCUACGGGUAACAGGGUUGUCUAUCUACGGGUAACAGGGUUGUCUAUCUACGGGUAACAGGGUUGUCUAUCUACGGGUAACAGGUUUGUCUAUCUACGGGUAACAGGGUUGUCUAUCUACGGGUAACAGGGUUGUCUAUCUACGGGUAACAGGGUUGUCUAUCUACGGGUA